GAUUAGAUACCCUGGUAGUCCACGCCGUAAACGAUGUCGACUUGGAGGUUGUUCCCUUGAGGAGUGGCUUCCGGAGCUAACGCGUUAAGUCGACCGCCUGGGGAGUACGGCCGCAAGGUUAAAACUCAAAUGAAUUGACGGGGGCCCGCACAAGCGGUGGAGCAUGUGGUUUAAUUCGAUGCAACGCGAAGAACCUUACCUACUCUUGACAUCCAGAGAACUUAGCAGAGAUGCUUUGGUGCCUUCGGGAACUCUGAGACAGGUGCUGCAUGGCUGUCGUCAGCUCGUGUUGUGAAAUGUUGGGUUAAGUCCCGCAACGAGCGCAACCCUUAUCCUUUGUUGCCAGCGAUUCGGUCGGGAACUCAAAGGAGACUGCCGGUGAUAAACCGGAGGAAGGUGGGGAUGACGUCAAGUCAUCAUGGCCCUUACGAGUAGGGCUACACACGUGCUACAAUGGCGCAUACAAAGAGAAGCGACCUCGCGAGAGCAAGCGGACCUCAUAAAGUGCGUCGUAGUCCGGACCGGAGUCUGCAACUCGACUCCGUGAAGUCGGAAUCGCUAGUAAUCGUGGAUCAGAAUGCCACGGUGAAUACGUUCCCGGGCCUUGUACACACCGCCCGUCACACCAUGGGAGUGGGUUGCAAAAGAAGUAGGUAGCUUAACCUUCGGGAGGGCGCUUACCACUUUGUGAUUCAUGACUGGGGUGAAGUCGUAACAAGG
rnacentral:rRNA from 1 species